CCUACGGGAGGCAGCAGUGAGGAAUAUUGGUCAAUGGACGAGAGUCUGAACCAGCCAAGUAGCGUGAAGGAUGACUGCCCUAUGGGUUGUAAACUUCUUUUAUAAAGGAAUAAAACGAGGCACGUGUGCCUUUUUGCAUGUACUUUAUGAAUAAGGAUCGGCUAACUCCGUGCCAGCAGCCGCGGUAAUACGGAGGAUCUGAGCGUUAUCCGGAUUUAUUGGGUUUAAAGGGAGCGUAGAUGGGUUGUUAAGUCAGUUGUGAAAGUUUGCGGCUCAACCGUAAAAUUGCAAUUGAUACUGGCAGUCGUGAGUACAGUUGAGGUAGGCGGAAUUCGUGGUGUAGCGGUGAAAUGCUUAGAUAUCACGAAGAACCCCGAUUGCGAAGGCAGCUUACUAAACUGUGACUGACAUUGAUGCUCGAAAGUGUGGGUAUCAAACAGGAUUAGAUACCCCAGUAGUC
rnacentral:rRNA from 1 species